rnacentral:rRNA from 1 species
UACGUAGGGGGCGAGCGUUGUCCGGAUUUAUUGGGCGUAAAGAGCUCGUAGGCGGUUCGAUAAGUCGGACGUGAAAUCUCCACGCUCAACGUGGAGGGGCCGUUCGAUACUGUCGUGACUCGAGUCCGGUAGGGGAGUGUGGAAUUCCCGGUGUAGCGGUGAAAUGCGCAGAGAUCGGGAGGAACACCCGUAGCGAAGGCGGCUCUCUGGAACGCAACUGACGCUGAGACGCGAAAGCGUGGGGAGCAAACAGGG